CUGGGUCUAAUACCGGAUAGGACCACUUGGCGCAUGCCUUGUGGUGGAAAGCUUUUGCGGUGUGGGAUGGGCCCGCGGCCUAUCAGCUAGUUGGUGGGGUGAUGGCCUACCAAGGCGACGACGGGUAGCCGGCCUGAGAGGGUGUCCGGCCACACUGGGACUGAGAUACGGCCCAGACUCCUACGGGAGGCAGCAGUGGGGAAUAUUGCACAAUGGGCGCAAGCCUGAUGCAGCGACGCCGCGUGGGGGAUGACGGCCUUCGGGUUGUAAACCUCUUUCAGCAGGGACGAAGCGCAAGUGACGGUACCUGCAGAAGAAGCACCGGCCAACUACGUGCCAGCAGCCGCGGUAAUACGUAGGGUGCGAGCGUUGUCCGGAAUUACUGGGCGUAAAGAGCUCGUAGGUGGUUUGUCGCGUUGUUCGUGAAAACCGGGGGCUUAACCCUCGGCGUGCGGGCGAUACGGGCAGACUAGAGUACUGCAGGGGAGACUGGAAUUCCUGGUGUAGCGGUGGAAUGCGCAGAUAUCAGGAGGAACACCGGUGGCGAAGGCGGGUCUCUGGGCAGUAACUGACGCUGAGGAGCGAAAGCGUGGGGAGCGAACAGGAUUAGAUACCCUGGUAGUCCACGCCGUAAACGGUGGGUACUAGGUGUGGGUUUCCUUCCUUGGGAUCCGUGCCGUAGCUAACGCAUUAAGUACCCCGCCUGGGGAGUACGGCCGCAAGGCUAAAACUCAAAGGAAUUGACGGGGGCCCGCACAAGCGGCGGAGCAUGUGGAUUAAUUCGAUGCAACGCGAAGAACCUUACCUGGGUUUGACAUGCACAGGACGCGUCUAGAGAUAGGCGUUCCCUUGUGGCCUGUGUGCAGGUGGUGCAUGGCUGUCGUCAGCUCGUGUCGUGAGAUGUUGGGUUAAGUCCCGCAACGAGCGCAACCCUUGUCUCAUGUUGCCAGCGGGUAAUGCCGGGGACUCGUGAGAGACUGCCGGGGUCAACUCGGAGGAAGGUGGGGAUGACGUCAAGUCAUCAUGCCCCUUAUGUCCAGGGCUUCACACAUGCUACAAUGGCCGGUACAAAGGGCUGCGAUGCCGCAAGGUUAAGCGAAUCCUUUUAAAGCCGGUCUCAGUUCGGAUCGGGGUCUGCAACUCGACCCCGUGAAGUCGGAGUCGCUAGUAAUCGCAGAUCAGCAACGCUGCGGUGAAUACGUUCCCGGGCCUCGUACACACCGCCCGUCACGUCAUGAAAGUCGGUAACACCCGAAGCCAGUGGCCUAACC
rnacentral:rRNA from 1 species